CGCGGAGUGCGGCCACCCUCUUCUGGAGCACAAGGCGGCAGUGAACAAGGCCAACCUAGGUGUCUGGCUGGUGAUGGGGGAGCCUGCGGUGGCGCGCAACCUUGGUGUUGAAACCACGCUCUCCGCCCGCUCCUGGGCGUCUGGUGUUGCUGGAGAAUCAAUUAUUCAGAUCUCUGCUACGGCUUCCUCCUCCAGUGCCUCCGGCUGGGUACAGCAAUCCCUGCUCCACGCAAGACACGCCGACACGCACACGCCCGCCCAGAGAGUCUGCUCGGAUGCUUCUCUCAAUGCCUAACCACCCUGGUAUGGGAACCCACUCUGAUGUCAGGGAGCCAGGAGUCUAAAAGCAAAAAACAUACACUGCCUCCACGCACAGACGCGCGCGUGCACGCGCACACACCACACACACACACACACACACACUCGCGUGCUCACGCACACAUACACAUACACACUUGCUGCUUUCUUCUCUAAGUUGUACCAGAUUUUAAAAAAAUAGCUCACCAGAAGGGACUAACUGGACUUGAAAGCUGACUGGCUCUAAUUCUGGCGAUUGAGCGAGCAUGAGGCUCAUUGUUAGAUGUCUACAUUUGACCUUUGUAUAGUCAACUGUAUCCCAAACACCUCUUCCUUUCUUCUCUCUGGAGAAAGGUCUUAAAUUCCACUUGAUACCUAACGUCACCAGAAUGCUUAUGUCCGAAAUUUGUACGUUGAAAACCUAAACCCUAGGUGAUGGUAAGAGUGCUGGCCUUCACACAGGGACUAAGUCAUAAGACUAGAAUCGCAUUAGUCUCUUUAUAAAAGAGGUCCUGAAGAGCUAGCCAGCUAGCCCGGCCCUUGCCCAGCCAGAAGAAGCCCUCGACACAUAAUCUGCCUCGUGUUGAUUUUAGAAAAACUUCUUAUGAUUCAUAAGGCGAGUAGUUUUUAUCACAGGUCCACUGACUCCAGCCAUCACCAUCUUCCUUUAAUGACUGGAUAAUCUGGAGAAAGAGUCAUGGGCAGCAGCAGUACGAAUGCCUAUUACUCUGGGUUAUCCUGAAAUGAAAAGAGAGUGAAUGGCCUUGGCCAGAGUCAACAAGACCUGACACAUAGUAGAUGCUCAGGAGACACAAGAGCCCUCUAAAGUAACCCAUUCAGGAGGGUACUUCUAGAUACAUUGAUGUGAUUGCAGGAAAGCAGACAAGAAAGGGUCAUGGGUCCCAGAGACCAUGCAUUCACUGUUGUGCUGAUAGCUGGGUAUGGAAUUCCUUGGGGUCUUACACAAAAGAGAGAGCAGAGGCAGACAGAAUCUGGAAGGGAAGUAAAGUGUGGGAAGCAUGCUGUGAUAUGAUCCAGACAGAGACUGAGGCAACGGUCCAUUUCCUGACACUGUGGAUGAGCUGGACGGAGCUGGGCCUCUCUCCUGUGUGAGUUAUCAUUGGCGACUCCUGGGGAAAUUAGCGUCUUAGUUCAAGAAGCUGUAAUCUGCAGCCAGUUUACAGAGCCACACCAUGCCCAGAAGCCCGAGGCUGCAGGCUGUUCUCCAAGAAGGCAGGCUGCCCUGCCAGGACCUGUGGAAGACAGGCUUGACUGAUCUCAGGAACUUACCCUCUGCCUCCAGCCUCCAGAGGUACCUAUCAAGCACCUUCCCAAGUUCUUGCUGCUCCUUCAGUCUCUCUCCAAAGCCUGAGAGCCACAUGAGCCUGUGCCUGACAUAACCCUUCCUUUUUUAGAGUUCCCUUGGAACACAGCAGGAAACCAACAGUCAGUUUAUCCAUCUGAACAAUGGAGGUGCUGAUAGUAGAUCCCACUAGAUCCACAUCUGCAGACGGAACUCUUGGCAAAGAGAGAAAAUAAACUAACCAGGUACAGACUUUAACCCUUGCUAUUAUCCCUCAGCAACACUGUAUAUCACCUGAAUUGCAUUCAGCACUAAAAGUCAUCCACAGAUUACUCAAAGCACUGGGGAAGGUUGUGUAGUAUUAUGCAAAUUUCGUGCUAUUUUGCAUAAGGACAAGAGUAUCCUCAGAAUUUGGAAUCAUGGGCCUUCUGGAUCCACUCCAUAAAAACCAAGGGACUACAGCAUCCUGGGAGUUUGGUAUUACAGGUAUCCUGAAUCUAACACCCCUCCCACCAUGGAUACUAAGGGAUGACUAUAUUGACUUCACAGAAUCGUAGUGGGAUUUGAUGAUAAUUGCACACAGAAACUGGAAUAGUGUAUGCCACAUAGGAAAUGAGUAUUAGCCACUUUCUGUGUUCUUGUUAUAUUUGUAUUUGCAAAUGUAAUAAACCAUAGUGCGAACCAUA